rnacentral:tRNA from 1 species
GGUGAGAUGGGUGAGUGGCUUAAACCAGUAGUUUGCUAAACUGCCGUACCUCAAAAGGGUACCCCGGGUUCGAAUCCCGGUCUCACCGCAA